rnacentral:rRNA from 1 species
GAUGAACGCUGGCGGCGUGCCUAAUACAUGCAAGUCGAGCGAACGGACGAGAAGCUUGCUUCUCUGAUGUUAGCGGCGGACGGGUGAGUAACACGUGGAUAACCUACCUAUAAGACUGGGAUAACUUCGGGAAACCGGAGCUAAUACCGGAUAAUAUUUUGAACCGCAUGGUUCAAAAGUGAAAGACGGUCCUGCUGUCACUUAUAGAUGGAUCCGCGCUGCAUUAGCUAGUUGGUAAGGUAACGGCUUACCAAGGCAACGAUGCAUAGCCGACCUGAGAGGGUGAUCGGCCACACUGGAACUGAGACACGGUCCAGACUCCUACGGGAGGCAGCAGUAGGGAAUCUGCCGCAAUGGGCGAAAGCCUGACGGAGCAACGCCGCGUGAGUGAUGAAGGUCUUCGGAUCGUAAAACUCUGUUAUUAGGGAAGAACAUAUGUGUAAGUAACUGUGCACAUCUUGACGGUACCUAAUCAGAAAACCACGGCUAACUACGUG